AUUGAACGCUGGCGGCGUGCUUAACACAUGCAAGUCGAACGGUAACAGGGCCCUUCGGGGUGCUGACGAGUGGCGGACGGGUGAGUAAUGCUUAGGAAUCUGCCUAGUAGUGGGGGAUAACCCGGGGAAACUCGGGCUAAUACCGCAUACGCCCUACAGGGGAAAGCGGGGGACUUUCGGGCCUCGCGCUAUUAGAUGAGCCUAAGUCCGAUUAGCUAGUUGGUAGGGUAAUGGCCUACCAAGGCGACGAUCGGUAGCUGGUCUGAGAGGACGACCAGCCACACUGGGACUGAGACACGGCCCAGACUCCUACGGGAGGCAGCAGUGGGGAAUAUUGGACAAUGGCGCAAGCCUGAUCCAGCGAUGCCGCGUGUGUGAAGAAGGCCUGCGGG
rnacentral:rRNA from 1 species